rnacentral:tmRNA from 1 species
AACGUUGUCGGAGAACAUUUUCGCAAAUGAGUUUGUCGAAUACUCGUGUGUAAGAGAUUCGGAACUGAGAAAACGAUAAACACACUACGCCCGUAGAAGCCCUAUUUUAAUUCCGAAGGACCCGGGUUCGAUUCCCGGCACCUCCACCA